rnacentral:rRNA from 1 species
UCGCCAGACUCCUACGGGAGGCAGCAGUGGGGGAUAUUGCACAAUGGGCGAAAGCCUGAUGCAGCGACGCCGCGUGAGGGAAGACGGUCUUCGGAUUGUAAACCUCUGUCUUUGGGGAAGAAUAGAGACGGUACCCAAAGAGGAAGCUCCGGCUAACUACGUGCCAGCAGCCGCGGUAAUACGUAGGGAGCGGGCGUUGUCCGGAAUUACUGGGUGUAAAGGGAGCGUAGGCGGGAGGAUAAGUUGAAUGUGAAAUCUAUGGGCUCAACCCAUAGCUGCGUUCAAAACUGUUCUUCUUGAGUGAAGUAGAGGCAGGCGGAAUUCCUAGUGUAGUGGUGAAAUGCGUAGAUAUUAGGAGGAACACCAGUGGCGAAGGCGGCCUGCUGGGCUUUUACUGACGCUGAGGCUCGAAAGCGUGGGUAGCAAACAGGAUUAGAUCCCCCCGUA